UACAGCCAUAUUACGUUGAAACGUUGGUUCUCGUCCGAUCACCGAAGUUAAGCAAUAUCGAGCCUGGUCAGUACCUAGAUGAGUGACCGUUUGGUAAUACCAGGUAC